rnacentral:rRNA from 3 species
AAAUUGAAGAGUUUGAUCAUGGCUCAGAUUGAACGCUGGCGGCAGGCCUAACACAUGCAAGUCGAGCGGUAGCACAGAGAGCUUGCUCUCGGGUGACGAGCGGCGGACGGGUGAGUAAUGUCUGGGAAACUGCCUGAUGGAGGGGGAUAACUACUGGAAACGGUAGCUAAUACCGCAUAAUGUCGCAAGACCAAAGUGGGGGACCUUCGGGCCUCAUGCCAUCAGAUGUGCCCAGAUGGGAUUAGCUAGUAGGUGGGGUAA